GGACAGGGCAGAACUUGACCACUGUCGUCCGUCAUACCCAUUUUCAUUCUUCCAUCGGUUAAUCACGAUAGUGUGCGUUUAGGGGGUGGCGGUCUAGAGUUUGGAAAAGAAAACUGGUGGGAAUCAGGAGAGAGGAUGUCUGUGGAUAAUUCUGAAAGCAGUUCGACAAGAACUAUGCUCAUUGCUUGCUCGACUUUCUUGCCAUGACGUUGCUUGUCAACAUAAAUUGCUUUUUUAGUUUGCUUGGAUGCAGUUUAUUACCAGUGCAAUGCAUCAAAACUUGUUGGUACAAAACUGAUUCUAUGUGAACGGAGAUGGUGUCAUUUUGUCUAAUAAAGAAUUUCUUCAUUGCAACUAAGAGCAGAUGUGGGGAAGUAAUCAUGGCUUGUUGCACAUACUGGUGCUCUAAAGACUCCUAAGCUUCAAUCGUGGCAGUAUUUCACCAGACAUCUGCAUGAAGAGACUGAUUUAUCUACCAGAGGAAUGCAACUGAAGUCCAGAAAUGUCUAAUAUCGGAAACAGGGAAAAGUUACUUAAGGACUAUGGAUUAGCAAAUAAACCAAAAAGUAUAGUGUUGGUGCGAUCAUGGAAGCCAUAUCCCUUUCUAAUAACGGGAGUUUUGUGACAUCUAUAACGGAAGAGGACGACUAACCAUAUUGGGUGUGCAAUGCAACAUUGAAUAUAUUUCAAUGAAAGAAGAUUAAUGCAUCCCACAAAAGUUUCAGGAUGUAGUUGAGAUCUGUAUGGGUUUUUGAAAAAUUUCUCUAGUUAGAAUGCAAGAGGUUCAUAGGACAGCACUGGAAUUCACCCAAAUUAACAGAAGCAACUAGCAAAAACUGUCGCUGUUUCUGAAAUCCCCAUUUUCCUUAAACAUGAAAAUGAAGUGACGGAGUAUGCCAACCGAAAAACGGGAAUUCCGGUGUUAUUACGAUUCCUGCGAAUCAAUGAUAAGCUAGCGCAGAUUCGAGAUGGUAGCUACAACGGCUUGCGAAACGAAUUGAGCUAUGGAACGAAAUAUGUCAAUCCCACAAUUUGGCGUGAAUGCAUCCGAUGUUCCAUUUUGGUAGACUACAUUCGGAUUUGCUAAAUUAAGCAGAUAGUGGUUUUUCUGUUUUAAUGCAACCUUUUUUUAUUUGUUUGUUUUCCGUUUCUUUUUUUUUUUCCUUUUCGUUUCCUUCUUGUUUGUAUGCAUUUCGAAGAGUAAUCACGGACACGAAGAUGGACGGCAACAAGACGCCAGCGAUCAUACACCAAUGACCAGAUCCACAUUGUAUUGUGUUCCUUCAUGUUUAAAUAUAUCCAGCCCUGCAGUGGUAAUUGCGUAUAAAGAAUACA